UACGUAGGUGGCAAGCGUUGUCCGGAGUUAUUGGGCGUAAAGCGCGCGCAGGCGGUGCGGUAAGUCUAUGGUGAAAGCGCUCGGCUUAACUGGGCGAGGGCCGUGGAGACUGCCGGACUGGAGGGGAGCAGAGGCGAGUGGAAUUCCUGGUGUAGCGGUGAAAUGCGCAGAUAUCAGGAGGAACACCAACAGCGAAGGCAGAUCUCUGGGACGUUACUGACGCUGAGGAGCGAAAGCAUGGGGAGCGAACAGG
rnacentral:rRNA from 1 species